CCCGCUGAACUUAAGCAUAUCACUN
rnacentral:rRNA from 1 species